GAGCCAUGGCAGUCCAAUAAUGACUUCUAAUCAGUUAUGAGAGUGAGUAACGUUCACUCAUGGCUCU
rnacentral:tRNA from 1 species